UACAGAGGUCUCAAGCGUUGUUCGGAUUCAUUGGGCGUAAAGGGUGUCGUAGGCGGCGCGGCUAAGUCGGGUGUGAAAUUCGUGAGCUUAACUCCGCAAACUGCAUUCGAUACUGGCCGUGCUUGAGGACUGGAGAGGAGACUGGAAUUUACGGUGUAGCGGUGAAAUGCGUAGAUAUCGUAAGGAAGACCAGUGGCGAAGGCGGGUCUCUGGACAGUUCCUGACGCUGAGGCACGAAGGCCAGGGGAGCAAACGGGG
rnacentral:rRNA from 1 species